UGGGGAAUUUUGGACAAUGGGCGCAAGCCUGAUCCAGCCAUGCCGCGUGCGGGAAGAAGGCCUUCGGGUUGUAAACCGCUUUUGUCAGGGAAGAAAUCUUCUGAGUUAAUACCUCGGGAGGAUGACGGUACCUGAAGAAUAAGCACCGGCUAACUACGUGCCAGCAGCCGCGGUAAUACGUAGGGUGCAAGCGUUAAUCGGAAUUACUGGGCGUAAAGCGUGCGCAGGCGGUUUUGUAAGACAGAGGUGAAAUCCCCGGGCUCAACCUGGGAACUGCCUUUGUGACUGCAAGGCUUGAGUGCGGCAGAGGGGGAUGGAAUUCCGCGUGUAGCAGUGAAAUGCGUAGAUAUGCGGAGGAACACCGAUGGCGAAGGCAAUCCCCUGGGCCUGCACUGACGCUCAUGCACGAAAGCGUGGGGAGCAAACAGGAUUAGAUACCCUGGUAGUCCACGCCCUAAACGAUGUCAACUGGUUGUUGGGAAGGUUCCUUCUCAGUAACGUAGCUAACGCGUGAAGUUGACCGCCUGGGGAGUACGGCCGCAAGGUUGAAACUUAAAGGAAUUGACGGGGUCAUAGCUGUUUCCU
rnacentral:rRNA from 1 species